rnacentral:rRNA from 1 species
UGGGGAAUAUUGCACAAUGGGCGCAAGCCUGAUGCAGCAACGCCGCGUGAGGGACGACGGCCUUCGGGUUGUAAACCUCUUUUAGUAGGGAAGAAGCGAAAGUGACGGUACCUGCAGAAAAAGCACCGGCUAACUACGUGCCAGCAGCCGCGGUAAUACGUAGGGUGCGAGCGUUGUCCGGAAUUAUUGGGCGUAAAGAACUCGUAGGCGGUCUGUCGCGUCUGCUGUGAAAACCCGAGGCUCAACCUCGGGCCUGCAGUGGGUACGGGCAGACUAGAGUGCGGUAGGGGAGAAUGGAAUUCCUGGUGUAGCGGUGGAAUGCGCAGAUAUCAGGAGGAACACCGAUGGCGAAGGCAGUUCUCUGGGCCGUAACUGACGCUGAGGAGCGAAAGCGUGGGGAGCGAACAGGAUUAGAUACCCUGGUAGUCCACGCCGUAAACGUUGGGCGCUAGAUGUGGGGACCAUUCCACGGUUUCCGUGUCGCAGCUAACGCAUUAAGCGCCCCGCCUGGGGAGUACGGUCGCAAGAUUAAAACUU